UACGUAGGUGGCAAGCGUUGUCCGGAAUCACUGGGCGUAAAGGGCGCGUAGGCGGCUUUAUAAGUCGGGGGUGAAAGCCUGUGGCUCAACCACAGAAUUGCCUUCGAUACUGUAGAGCUUGAGACCGGAAGAGGUAAGUGGAACUGCGAGUGUAGAGGUGAAAUUCGUAGAUAUUCGCAAGAACACCAGUGGCGAAGGCGGCUUACUGGUCCGGUUCUGACGCUGAGGCGCGAAAGCGUGGGGAGCAAACAGG
rnacentral:rRNA from 1 species